CAGCCGCCGCGGGAAUACAGAGGGUGCAAGCGUUAAUCGGAGUUACUGGGCGUAAAGGGCGCGUAGGCGGUUAUAUAAGUCAGAUGUGAAAUCCCCGGGCUCAACCUGGGAACUGCAUUUGAGACUGUAUGGCUAGAGUGUGUCAGAGGGGGGUAGAAUUCCACGUGUAGCAGUGAAAUGCGUAGAUAUGUGGAGGAAUACCGAUGGCGAAGGCAGCCCCCUGGGAUAACACUGACGCUCAUGCACGAAAGCGUGGGGAGCAAACAGGAUUAGAUACCCCCGUAGUCCCUGUCUCUUAUAC
rnacentral:rRNA from 1 species